GAAGAUAUAGCUCAAGUGGUAGAGCACUUGCUUAGCAUGCAUGAGGUCCUGGGUUCAAUCCCCAUUCACCUCC
rnacentral:tRNA from 1 species